ACUGCAAAGUGUAGCUAACGAUUUCUAUUUCCAGUUCAAUCCUCAAACGCGCUUUCAUCGUCUUCAGUUUCAGCCAUGCUUAGUAUUAGUUUGGGCUUAGCUGUUUUAGGAUAAAAAUUAUCCUGUUACUUUAGUGAUUUCUUUUUAGUUCUGUUUGGUUGUAUUAUUACUUCCAGUUACACUUCGCGUGCAUUGGGUCCUGCUGGUUUAGUAUUGAUUGAGAUGCGUUUAUUAUUUCCUAGUUCUAAUUUGGUUUUGUUUAAGCUUACUACUAAUUAGUCGAUUUAAUCGUAUGAUUGUUAUGGCUUUAGUUCAGUUUUGUGUGAAUAACAAAGCAUGGGCCAAUGUUUCUUUAAUUUUGUGGUUAAGCAUAAGUAAUUCAGAGUUCUAUAUGGUAGCAAUCCCUUUCCCUACUGUUUGCUCAUGUAUAGACUUUUGAGGCUGUUGUUUAUGGUAAAUGGGGUGUCAUAUUAUUUUCUCAGUAGGCAUGAUAGCAUGUUUCUUGUUACUCAUUCUUCACCUUUUCCUUUCUUUGCAUGAUUUGGGAGUUGCAAAUCCCAACUGUCUUCGAGGCAUUUUCAUGAACUGGCUGCUGCAUUUGCAAAAGCUGCUGUUUGUAUUGUGAAGUCCCUUUUUGGGAUUAAAUUGAUGUUGCUACCACUGAUGCAUUUUGAGACUCAUGUUGCUGCACUCUUGAGGGGUUUUCAAAGUGCUUUACUUUGAUAAAAGGAGUUGCUACCUUGCUAUUGUGUUUGCUGCUUUGCUAAUGCAUUUUUAAGAACUGGUUGUGCUGAAUAAAUGGCAAAACUGCUGGUGCAUUAAAGUCUGUCUAUUCCUAAGUGUUUAAUCAAGAUAGGGAUUUUUGAAAUGGGGAAUAUGUAGUCCUUCAUGGUCUAACCUUUGUUUCUGAAAACAUGUAGAAGGAUUAUCAUUUUCCUUGUCUCUGAACUAUCUUAUAAAAAAUAGUGAAAAAAUAAAGGGUGAUUUGAGUCUGCAUGGUUGGGACAAUAGGUGCAAGUGUUGUGUGUUUGAUUUUUUUAGGGUUUCUCUGAGAGUUCCUUCAAGGCUAUAGGCUUAUAGAGUUAAGAAUCUGAUUUGGUUAUUUCCUUGGAGGUAACAAGAUUUGGUGUAAGCAUUUUCCUUUUGCAUCUAGUAAACAAAGUUAAAAGCUCUCCUAGUUGUAGAAGACCAACUGUGUUUGCAUAAUUUCACCUUGAAUGUUGGUAGAAACUGUUAGCAUGGGGCUUGAAAGGAUAAAACAUAUAUCUUGUUCGAAAGUUUGUUUCUCUAAGAAACUGCCUCUUUGUGUGUUUACUUGUGAUGAUAUCCAAGUCCUGAUCAAAGUAGUUCUGCAUUGUCUUUCUUACUCAAAACCUCUUUCCAUCACCCUGCCUGCUGAAAGCCAAGGCAACAGAGGGAUUGGUUUAGCCUCCUCCGAUAGCCUGCCAUGCCAAGAUUCUAGAAACCUUUGGAUCUUGUUGCGGCAUUGGAAAUAGAUGGUGGUAGCCCCCCUCUGUUGUCUUAUCUUUCAAAUUUGAUGUUAGGCUUAAUGUUUAUGAUCAGGUUUUAUGCUUGCUUUCUCUUAGAAGUACUGAGUUGUUUGGUAUCUUUACUGCCUGUUGACUACUACAAACGAUUUAAUACUAAGUGUUCUUUUAAGUUGAUUAGCCUGCAUACAUAUAUAAUUCUUGAUACUCAUCCUUUGCCCCACCCUUUUCUUUGCAUGACAUGGGGGAGUUUACAUCCCAAACUUCUUGACUUGCUUGGCUGCAAUGCCUGAUGAGCUUACUGCCCUGGUUUGUGGAUUGUUGCUGAAUUAAAAUGAACAGAUACCACUAGUUGAAUUGCUGUCUUAAAACAGUUGUUGUAUUUGAGACAUAUUUGAUAUUUUGAUAUUAGAAUGCUCGGCAAGCGAAAAAUGAGGAAAUGAAGUGUUCUGAUCUGAAUUGCACAAGGGACAGACCGUCAACAUGCUCGACAGUCCGUCAAGUUGUCUCGUCGAUCAAGUUUCUGCAGAGUGAAAUAUGUCAUCAGACCGUCGACUUGCGGUUCGUCGAAGUGCCUCGACGAUGGGAGUCUUGUAACUUGAAAAGUUGUCAUCAGAUCGUCGACUUGCACAUCGACAUGUCGACGACCGUCAAAGUGCAACGACGACUCAUCAAAGUGCAAACCGACCUGGAGUAGGAUUGGGAUUGAUUAUUGCGAGUUUUAACUUGUAUAAAUACUUGGUUAGGUUUUAUUUUUCAGACAUUUGGAGUUCUAGACUUGUAGUAACUACUUUUGAGUUGUUCUUACUUUUGAAGACUUUCCAGAUAAAUACAUUCAUUACUUUCAAGUUUAUUCGUAACUUCAAUACAAAAUUCAAUUAUGCAAUC